rnacentral:lncRNA from 1 species
GACAAAAGGCUGCCUCCUGUUUUGUCCCCUCCACAGGUCCCUGCUUGUCCUUCACUUUUCCCAGGAGGGGAAGUGGCACAAGGAGUUCACCAGGAGUACUGCAGAUGCCAGGGAGGUGGUCAGAAACUUCACAGUCUCCAGACUGUCAGCCAAAAUAAAUCUCUAUUCUUUACACAGUCUCAGGUACUCUGUUAUCACAACAGAAAAUGGACCAAGAUAGUAUCCCACCAGAAAAAAAGAAAUAAGAUGAAAGCCAGCGGGUGUAUUAUGUCUCUGAAGAGUGGUAUAAUACAAAGACAUGUGUGUUUUCCCCAGAGGCAGUAUGACUAUCAGAGCCGUAUAGGUCUCUGAGUAUUACUUGGCUCUCACAGAUUAUUCUGCAAUUAGAAGAGAGAUCGCAAGCCUUUCUCCUUGAGGACACAUUCAAAGCAGAUGUUGUUCAUCACCACUCCCCCGCAAUAAAGAGAUGGAGCAAUGACAUUUACAUUACCUUUCUAUACCAACUAGUAUUCGAUGUACAGAAGAAUUACUUAUUCAUUGGCAAAUUGCCUACCCAG